rnacentral:rRNA from 1 species
GUGCUAAGGUAGCAUAAUCAUUUGUCUCUUAAUUAGAGACUAGAACAAAAGAUUUAACUUUUCAAUUUAUUUCUUUAUAUUAAUAUUCAAAAUUAUUUUAAAUGUUAAAAAACUUUUAUAAAAAAAAAAGACGACAAGACCCUAUUGAACUUAACUUUAGUUAAACUGGGGCAGUAAAUUAAUUAUUAUCUUAAUUAUUAUAAAAUCUUAUCCUUCUAAUAAAAUUAAAUUAAUCAGUUACCAUAGGGAUAACAGCGUAAUUUAUCUUUAAAGAUCUGAUAAAAAUAUAAGAUUACGACCUCGAUGUUGAAUUAAUAUUCUUAUUUUUGUAAAAAAAAAUAAAGAUGGUCUGUUCGACCAAUAAACAAUUACAUGAUUUGAGUUCAGACCGGUGUAAGCCAGGUCGGUUUCUAUCUUUUUAUAUUAUUAAACAGUACGAAAGGACCCUUAAUUAUAAUUUUAUUAUAAAAUUGGCAGAUAAUGCAUUAGAAUUAGAAUCUAAAUAUCCUAUUAUUAAUAUAAUAUUA